rnacentral:rRNA from 2 species
AACGAACGCUGGCGGCGCGUUUUAAGCAUGCAAGUCGAGCGGCAAGGGUCUUCGGGCCCCUAGAGCGGCGGACGGGUGAGUAACACGUGGACAAUCUGCCCCCCGGCCGGGGAUAGCCCAGGGAAACCUGGAUUAAUACCGGAUGAGACGGGACCCGCGGAGGCGGGAUCCGGGAAAGGCGCUGCGGCGCCGCCGGGGGAUGAGUCUGCGUCCCAUUAGCUUGACGGCGGGGUAACGGCCCACCGUGGCGACGAUGGGUAGCCGGCCUGAGAGGGUGUACGGCCACAUUGGAACUGAGACACGGUCCAGACUCCUACGGGAGGCAGCAGCUAAGAAUCUUCCGCAAUGGGCGAAAGCCUGACGGAGCGACGCCGCGUGAACGAAGAAGGCCGUGAGGUUGUAAAGUUCUUUUCGGGAGGGGGAACGACCGUGGCAGGGAAUGGCCGCGGGAUGACGUGAAUCCCGGAAUAAGCCCCGGCUAACUACGUG